rnacentral:lncRNA from 1 species
CAUCGAUUUAUAUUUGUAUUAAUCAAAUAAAUAACAGGAAGAUAAAGAAUUUGAGAAUACACAAAGCAGAAACAGCAAGAGAAGAUGAUUGACAAAGAAAUACUUAAAAGACAACAUUAGUGGAAACAAAACAUAUUACCACCUCAAUCUAUGAUUUCAUCUUUUAUGACAAUUAUAAAACAAAACACAAUCUAAAUCAUAUUAACUAACUCUUAAUACAGAUUUUUUUGGUUGAAGCCCUUCCUCAAUCGCGAAUCAUUCGAAGGAGCUCAGUCUCAAUCUCUCCACUUUCUUUGAAUAUGGGCCUUCUCUCCAACGACUCGUGGGAACCCUUUCUUUGUUUUCGUCAAAACUGGAACAGGUUAGUUUGGCUUGCCGAAAUCAAUCUCCUCGAUAAAGGUAGCCCCAUCUUUAUGCUUCACUUCAAAGCACAACCGGCGACUUUUCAAUCAAAACACAGGUAAAAACUAAAACGAUUAAAUAUAACUUUCAACACCAUUGCAGUACACAAUAUCACUGCAACACAGCCAAUUCAACCUAAGCAACCAUAAACUACACAGAAAAUGAAGAACAAACGAUAUUCAGAGAUGAUGGCAUACAAAAAAAAGAAAUAAAAACAUGUAAAAGAUGCAAAAUUCUAAACGUACAUGUAACCGAAACCCCAAUAAAUCAGGAUCGACGAAUAACACAUGAACCAGAUCAACCUAUAACUGAACCGUUUGACUGUGUAGAACAAAGAAAAAUUCAUUAAAGACGAUGCACGUAAGGAACAAGUAAAUAAGAGAUAGAAAGCAAAACAAACCUAAAAAAUCAAAGAGAACACAUGAAAGAGACA